AGAUGCUAAUACCGGAUAAAAGCUACUUUCGCAUGAAAGAAGUUUUAAAAGGCGGCGUAAAGCUGUCGCUAAAAGGAUGGGACCUGCGAUGCAUUAGCUAGUUGGUAAGGUAACGGGCUUACCAAGGCGAUGAUGCAUAGCCCGAGUUGAGAGACUGAUCGGGCCACAUUGGGGACUGAGACACGGGCCCAAACUCCUACGGGAGGCAGCAGUAGGGAAUCUUCCACAAUGGACGAAAGUCUGAUGGAGCAAACGCCGCGUGAGUGAAGAAGGUUUUCGGAUCGUAAAGCUCUGUUGUUGGUGAAGAAGGAUAGAGGUAGUAACUGGCCCUUUAUUUGACGGUAAUCAACCAGAAAGUCACGGGCUAACUACGUGCCAGCAGCCGCGGUAAAU
rnacentral:rRNA from 1 species